GAUGAACGCUGGCGGCGUGCCUUAUACAUGCAAGUCGAGUGGGUUUAGACCCACGGCAAACGGGCGAGUAACACGUAGGUAUUUUCCUUGUCACAGGAAUAACCCUCCGAAAGGAGGGCUAAUACCUGAUGUGAUCGCAAGAUUAAAGGGUAUCCGCAAGGAUUACCGGACAAGAAGAGGCCUGCGGGCUAUCAGCUAGUUGGCGGGGUAAAUGCCCACCAAGGCUAUGACGGGUAGCUGGUCUUACGAGGAUGAUCAGUCACAUGGGCACUGAGACACGGGCCCAACUCCUACGGGAGGCAGCAGUAGGGAAUUUUGCGCAAUGGGCGAAAGCCUGACGCAGCGACGCCGCGUGCGGGAUGAAGGCCUUCGGGUCGUAAACCGCUUUUAUAAGGGACGAACUUUGACGGUACCUUAUGAAUAAGAGGUUGCUAACCCUGUG
rnacentral:rRNA from 1 species